rnacentral:rRNA from 1 species
GACGAACGCUGGCGGCGUGCUUAACACAUGCAAGUCGAGCGGAAAGGCCCUUUCGGGGGUACUCGAGCGGCGAACGGGUGAGUAACACGUGAGUAAUCUGCCUCUGGCUUCGGGAUAGCCACCGGAAACGGUGAUUAAUACCGGAUACGACGCAUCACUGCAUGGUGUGUGCGUGGAAAGUUUUUUCGGCCAGGGAUGUGCUCGCGGCCUAUCAGCUUGCUGGUGGGGUAAUGGCCUACCAAGGCUUCGACGGGUAGCCGGCCUGAGAGGGUGACCGGCCACACUGGGACUGAGACACGGCCCAGACUCCUACGGGAGGCAGCAGUGGGGAAUAUUGGACAAUGGGCGGAAGCCUGAUCCAGCAACGCCGCGUGAGGGAUGACGGCCUUCGGGUUGUAAACCUCUUUCAGCACAGACGAAGCGCAAGUGACGGUAUGUGCAGAAGAAGGACCGGCCAACUACGCGCCAGCCGCCGCCGUAAAAC